CCGAUGCGGGACCCUACGGGUGCCGCGUUCGGAAUGAGUACGAUUCGAACCACCUAACGAGGAACGAUCGGAGGGCAAGUCUGGUGCCAGCAGCCGCGGUAAUUCCAGCUCCAAUAGCGUACGUUAAAGUUGCUGCAGUUAAAAAGCUCGUAGUUGAACGUUCGGGUUCCGCGGGACGGGGCCGCCCCGCGAGGGACGGCGCCGCCCCGGGGCUCGUGAUAUCUCAUCUCGCCGCCCGUCGCGAGGCGGACGGAGGGAUGGAUGAGGUUACCUGGAAAAAAUCGGGGCGAUCUAGGCGGGCGAACCUCGCCAACGAACGAUCGGACAUGGGAUAACGGAAGAGGGCGUCGGCUCGACUUCGUCGGUUCCUCGGGCCGAGGCACGUACGGUGAAUAGGGACGGUCGGGGCCGCCCGUACCGGGUCGUGAGAGGUGAAAUUCUAGGAUCGACCCGAGACGAACCGCCGCGAAAGCAUUCGGCAAGGACGCUUUCAUUAAUCAAGAACGAAAGUCGGGGGAUCGAAGACGAUCAGAUACCGUCGUAGUCCCGACCGUAAACGAUGCCGACCGAGGGCCCCGGAGGAGUUACGU
rnacentral:rRNA from 1 species